UACGUAGGCAGCAAGCGUUGUUCGGAGUUACUGGGCGUAAAGAGUGCGUAGGCGGUUUCGCAAGUUUGUUGUGAAAUCUCCCGGCUUAACUGGGAGGGUGCGGCGAAAACUGCGGGGCUGGAGUGUGGGAGAGGUAAGCGGAAUUCCUGGUGUAGCGGUGAAAUGCGUAGAUAUCAGGAGGAACACCGGCGGUGUAGACGGCUUACUGGACCAUGACUGACGCUGAGGCACGAAAGCGUGGGGAGCAAAC
rnacentral:rRNA from 1 species